GUGAAUCAUCAAAUCUUUGAACGCAAAUUGCACUUUCUGUUAGUCCGGAAAGUAUGCCUGUGUGAGGGUCAGUUAAUUAAAAAUCGGUGUUGUUGCUGCUUUUCGGUGUGACGCGGCGGAAUUGAGUUUUCUUACCUUCUGUGAAGUUACUUAAAAUUUUGCAUGAUUUUCGAACGUAGUUAAAUUUCUUACGUACGUUUGAGAUAUCGAAUACUUUAUUAGGUUCGGUCAUCCUCAUGAUUCGCACCUAUAAUUUUUCAUUAAUUAACCUGAAAUCAGGUAAGAAUACCAGCUGAACUUA
rnacentral:misc_RNA from 1 species